rnacentral:rRNA from 1 species
AUUGAACGCUGGCGGCAUGCUUUACACAUGCAAGUCGAACGGCAGCGCGGGCUUCGGCCUGGCGGCGAGUGGCGAACGGGUGAGUAAUGCAUCGGAACGUGCCCAGUAGUGGGGGAUAGCCCGGCGAAAGCCGGAUUAAUACCGCAUACGACCUGAGGGUGAAAGCGGGGGACCGAAAGGCCUCGCGCUAUUGGAGCGGCCGAUGUCGGAUUAGCUAGUUGGUGGGGUAAAGGCUUACCAAGGCGACGAUCCGUAGCUGGUCUGAGAGGACGACCAGCCACACUGGGACUGAGACACGGCCCAGACUCCUACGGGAGGCAGCAGUGGGGAAUUUUGGACAAUGGGGGCAACCCUGAUCCAGCCAUGCCGCGUGCGGGUAGAAGGCCUUCGGGUUGUAAACCGCUUUUGUUCGGGAAGAAAUCCUCUGGGCUAAUACCCCGGGGGGAUGACGGUACCGGAAGAAUAAGCACCGGCUAACUACGU